CUGAGAGGAUGACCAGCCACACUGGAACUGAGACACGGUCCAGACUCCUACGGGAGGCAGCAGUGGGGAAUAUUGCACAAUGGGCGCAAGCCUGAUGCAGCCAUGCCGCGUGUAUGAAGAAGGCCUUCGGGUUGUAAAGUACUUUCAGCGGGGAGGAAGGGAGUAAAGUUAAUACCUUUGCUCAUUGACGUUACCCGCAGAAGAAGCACCGGCUAACUCCGUGCCAGCAGCCGCGGUAAUACGGAGGGUGCAAGCGUUAAUCGGAAUUACUGGGCGUAAAGCGCACGCAGGCGGUUUGUUAAGUCAGAUGUGAAAUCCCCGGGCUCAACCUG
rnacentral:rRNA from 1 species